UACAGAGGUGGCAAGCGUUGUUCGGAAUUACUGGGCGUAAAGGGCGCGUAGGCGGCCAUCUAAGUCAGACGUGAAAUCCCCCGGCUUAACCUGGGAACUGCGUCUGAUACUGGAUGGCUUGAGUUCGGGAGAGGGAUGCGGAAUUCCAGGUGUAGCGGUGAAAUGCGUAGAUAUCUGGAGGAACACCGGUGGCGAAGGCGGCAUCCUGGACCGACACUGACGCUGAGGAGCGAAAGCCAGGGGAGCAAACGGG
rnacentral:rRNA from 1 species